rnacentral:lncRNA from 10 species
GGAUGGUGUCUUCUUAAGGAAACUUGAACUGUCUACCUGAAAAAAGAACCAGGAGAAGCCAGAGUUCUGAGAAUCUAUGAGGACUUUCCCAACUUUUAAAUGUUAACAAAUACUUUUUAAAAACAUUGAAAUUCUAGGCAUGCCAAAUGAAACUCUUCUGUGGACUGCCAGUUUGCAAUCUCUGUUGUAUGAGAUGGAAUGUCUUGAGGAACAGAGGCAGAGAUGGGCAAUAUGUCAUUGUGGUGAUGCAAGUGAUAUGGGAGGGGGGACAGGGAAAUGCUGGGAGGAGAAGGGUGGGGUCCCUGGCGAGGGCACCACCCUUGGGCCUGUGCCCAUGGACCUAGGUGAGGACAAGCCCUCUUGUUUUUGCGUCCAAAUAUUGCAUUUUCCAAGACCAGCCUGGCCCACCAGACCCCCCAUUCUGUGCCUAUAAAACCUGAGUCCCUAAUGGGCGCACACACACAAGCAGCUGGACUUCCAGAGGAACAUACUGGCAGACAAGCACACAGGCGACUGGACAUCGAGAGGAGCAGAGGAGUGGGAGACCACACCAACAGGCACCAGCAGACGCGUCAGGCCAUCAACUGGCAGAACAAUGUGGACGCCCAGGGGCAUUUGGCUGGGGCGGUUGGAGGAGAGUCCAGGUGCGGAGCGGCCUGACUCCAGAGGAAAACCACUUUCCCACUCCAUACCCCUUCUGGCUCCCCAUCCAUCUGCUGAGAGCUACUUCCAUCAUUCAGUAAAACCGUGCACUCCUUCUCCAAGCCCACGUGUGAUCCAGUUUUUCCAGUACACCAAGACAAGAACCCCAGGAUAGAGAAAGCCCUCUGUCUUUGCGAUAAGGCAAAGGUUCUACCUGAGCUGAUUAACACAAGCCACCUACAGAUGGCAAAACUAAAAGAGCACACUGUAACAUGCCCACAGGGGCUUCAGGAGCUGUAAACAUUCACCCUUAGAUGCUGCUGUGGGGUCAGAGCCCAUGCUCCCCAUGACCUGCCUGUCUGCCUGCUCCCACUAGGGGUUUUGAGCAGCGGGGCACUGAAGAAGCGAGCCAUACCACCAUAGCACACCCUGCGAGAGGCACAAGGGAACUUUGCCCAUUUCACAAGCACAAAAUGAAUGGUUAGACCCUGAAACUAUUAGGGUCCUUUCCAACUCUGAGACUCUCAUCUAGGACUGAUAACCCCAGACAACGGGUCACAUUUACUGACAAACACUAGUUCUGUUCCUUAUGCCAGCAAAGCAUGAGUAGUCCCAGAGUACUGCCCAAAAGCCCCAGUCCAUCCCUUGGUUUUCAAUUAAAGCAUUUCUUAUUGGUUUCAAAGAAAGCCCAUGGUGACAAAGUCAAGAUUAAGCCAAAUGCUUUUGAUGUUUAUCAAAUACCAGAGCUACAUCUUUGUCUUCCAUAGAAGAAACUGAGAAAAUUGUGUUCAUAAGAUUUCAGCGACAGAAAUCAUUUACCCAGAAUGAUUUUCCUCUGCAUGCCAAUGCAGGGCUGAUGAUGGUGAAGACUGGAGUCACAGACGGUAUGGGGGAGGACCUCACUGAAUGCUUUACCAGGUGUGACUUGCAAAGCAGCAAGUCACAAAUCUUUCACAGACACCUAGAACCAAAUUAAAUCUGAAGAACAAUAAAAAUAAUGUCAUUAUUUUAAGAAAAGGUAUUUUAUAAAACCAAAGAAUCAAGACAGAAGACCACAAAACAGAGAAAGCUGGGAGGGACCCAUCCUGGUUUUUUUUGAGAUGGAGUCUUCCUCUGUCGCCCAGGCUGGAGUACAGUGGCACCAUCCACUGCACUGUAACCUCCACCUCCUAGGUUGAAGCAAUUCUCGCACCUCACCCUCCUGAAAAGCUGGGAUUACAGGCACCCACCACCAUGCCCAGCUAAUUUUUGUAUUUUUAGUAGAGAUGGAGUUUCACCAUGUUGUCCAGACUGGUCUCAAACUCCUGACCUCAAGUGAUCCGCUGGCCUAGGUCUCUCAAAGUGCUGAGAUUACAGGCAUGAGCCCCUGCGCCCGGCCUCAUCAUCUUUUUUUGUGACCAGUACUUUCUUUCUCAAAACACUACCUACCAGUCUUCUGUUAUUCAAAAUCCCCUUGGCUCAGACCUACCAGAGAAAGGGGGCCAUCUCUCUCUCUACCAUCAUGGGCCACAUAUGGUUCUUUUGAAUAGGGGCAGAUAGUCAGAAUAUGAUUGAGACGAGAGUUAUAGAGAGCUGCCCAGAGACUUUCAAAUUAUGAGACCUAAGACAUUUGCCCUGGCCUAUUCUAAGGCCCCUUUAUACCCUGGGCCACAUAGAAAUAAUUCCUAUAUAGACACCCCUAAUUCAUAUAUUAUUGAGAAAUGCUUUAUUUUUUCAUUUCCCUAGAGAAGAAGUGCUCACUUUUGUUCUUGUUUUUGUUUUUAACUGGCUUUGUUAUUCUUGGGCAUGAGAUGGUAUUUAAUCCUUUUAUCCACUUAUUGAACAAAUACGUCGGGCACUGGGAAUACAAUUGAGCUGAACUGAACUGGUAAAAUCAUUGCCCUCAAGGAGCUGGCAUUCAAGUGGCUGACAUGAUACCAUUUUCUGUGUCUCAGAAGAUGACCACGGAGAACUUGAUCUAAACUGGGAACUUUGAUGAUGUAUUUCAUGUCAAUGAGUCUGUUCUAAAAAGCAAAGAAAAACACACCGUGCUCUAUCAUAGUGUUAGUAUACAGACCUCCAUGAGGUCCUAAAAAGUCAGACUGUAAGGGACUAAUUCAGAUGGUUGAAAUUCAGGGAGGCAAAGUGACAGAACCUUUUCAAGCUUCUAUGCGGGAGGUGAGGGACGGGAUAUAAUGAGAAUCUGGCAACACUCGGUAAAUUAUCUUCUGAAUUGAUUCAAAUUUUUGCAGCAAGCCUUUCUGUGCAAAUUUCCAUGACUUCUUCAUGGUAAUUAGUUUCAUGGAAUAUUGCCAAAUGGCAUAUUUUUCCUACUUCGAGCCACUUUAUAAGCACUCCUGGGAAUGUCUGAAAUAUGAGAUAAGCACUCUUAACCCAAAGUUUUAUUAAAAAGUUUAAUGAACACAAAUACCAAAUGACACAUUCAUUGCCAUUAAGUAUGUAGACUCUCUGUAAAUCUGUGAACUACUGGGCGACUAUAAAACCUACUUCCCUCAGCAACCACAGAAGCUUUAUUUCUCUUCCUGAGCAGGCAUGGGAGCCCUCCGGAUGCACCUCGCCAUCUCCAGCCUCCCAGAUUCUCAGGACUCCACUGCAUGCACUGAAGCAUGGUGGUGGUUGUGAAUUCCCUCUCGGCUCCUUCUCUGUCAAGUCCUCCCUCCCACUAGUACUGACCUUACCCUGCCAGUCCUUGCGCUUUUGAUCUUCUUCGCAUUGCCCUCCAGGAAGCCUCAGGCCACAUAAGAACUUUCUCAUUGUCUAACAUCAUCCCCAAAUAAGAAACAUGCAUUUACUAAAUGUUCUCUCAAACUUCCAGAACAUAGAGAAUUACUUAAUUUUUUUUUUGUUCUGGGCACAAUCCUCUACUAGAAUCUUAGUUCUUCAAAGGCAGGGACCAUCUUUUUAUACGCC